rnacentral:lncRNA from 1 species
GGCUGGCAGGGGCCUCGGGAGAUCGUCCGCUCCAACGCCCAGCCCACAGCAGGGUCAGCAGAGCAGUUGGGUUGUGAAUACGUCCGAAGAUGGAGACUCCACAACCACACUGAACCACCUAUUGAUGGAUGUGGAAUGUUGUCUGAAGAUCAGCUGGAACCUCYCCAAACUGAACUGCCAAUGUGUUCAUCCCUGCUGAGCGGACUCUUUUCUGAGCUGUGUAAUGGACUGCCAUGCUGGGACWGCUUCCCCUCCUGCACCUGAAUGCUUUUCCUGAG